CUUUAUUUGAGAGUUUGAUCCUGGCUCAGGAUGAACGCUGGCGGCGUGCUUAACACAUGCAAGUCGAACGAAGCACAAAAGCGGAAGCCUUCGGGUGGAAGCUUUUGUGACUGAGUGGCGGACGGGUGAGUAACGCGUGG
rnacentral:rRNA from 1 species